UACGGGAGGCAGCAGUAGGGAAUUUUCGGCAAUGGGGGCAACCCUGACCGAGCAACGCCGCGUGAGUGAAGAAGGUUUUCGGAUCGUAAAGCUCUGUUGUAAGAGAAGAACGUGUGUGAGAGUGGAAAGUUCACACAGUGACGGUAACUUACCAGAAAGGGACGGCUAACUACGUGCCAGCAGCCGCGGUAAU
rnacentral:rRNA from 1 species